AGCGAACGCUGGCGGCAGGCUUAACACAUGCAAGUCGAGCGCCCCGCAAGGGGAGCGGCAGACGGGAGAGUAACACGUGGGAACAUACCUUUUGGUUCGGAACAACUGAGGGAAACUUCAGCUAAUACCGGAUAAGCCCUUACGGGGAAAGAUUUAUCGCCGAAAGAUUGGCCCGCGUCUGAUUAGCUAGUUGGUGAGGUAACGGCUCACCAAGGCGACGAUCAGUAGCUGGUCUGAGAGGAUGAUCAGCCUCACUGGGACUGAGACACGGCCCAGACUCCUACGGGAGGCAGCAGUGGGGAAUAUUGGACAAUGGGGGCAACCCUGAUCCAGCCAUGCCGCGUGAGUGAUGAAGGCCUUAGGGUUGUAAAACUCUUUUGCCCGGGAAGAUAAUGACGGUACCGGGAGAAUAAGCCCCGGCUAACUUCGUG
rnacentral:rRNA from 1 species